ensembl:lncRNA
UGGGGCAAUUAUGGCAGGCAGUAUUGGGUGUGGCUUCUGGAGUGGGCGUGUUCCUGGUAGGAUUGACAGCUGUCUGUCUCUGCAGGAGGACCAGUGAGUACAUUUGAUUCUGCAAAACAAAUCAUUUGAAAAUUUACCGUGCUAACAUUAAUGUAAGUGCCUUUGGCAUGGGUUCAUUUAUCAACUCAUUUGAUCAUAUUGUAUAGGUUAGACUAUAUUCAAUGUAAUUAAUUUAGCCUCAUUUGUUUUUCAGAGAAAACCAAUUCUCAGAGGUAAGAAUUCCCUUGUGAAUUUGAUGCAGAUUGUAACAACCUUUAGUUCUGUAUUGUCCAUGAUGAGAUGUUCUUACCACAACCUUCUUAUAUACUUUUAUGUUGUACAGACCUACAGCCAGACAGGAUGAUCACAGACAAUGUAUGUUCCAAACAAAAUACAUCAAACAUACACACACAUACGACAUACAGAACUAUAUACACGCAUGUACAAACACUGUAAUUCAAUUUUCAUUGUGUUUCUGUUGUAGAUGAUUUGGUGUCUAUGGGAGCGGUGAGCAGCGGAGUCAUGGUGGAUUCAGGAGAUGCUGGAAUCGAUUCUCAGAUCACAUCUGUACUGCCCACGUUCAUGCCCUCAGGUCCCGUUGAUGUGAAUACACAGGCAUUUGCAAAUGAACAUUCUGAUACGUACCAUGUAUACAGCUCAAUCCCCGACAGACCAGCAUCCUCAGCCCAGCCUGAUGGGUUGUACAGCCUUCUGCAGACACACUGAAACUUCACCUCUGGCUUUCUGUAUCUAUGUCUCACACAUUCUUUCUCUUUCUCACACGACAUCCUUUAUUAUCACUCAUCCAGUUACUGUAAAUAAGUUGAUUAACAGGUUAUAUUUCUACUGUAUUACACAUGGACAACUGAUUUCUGUUACAUGUCUAUCCAUAAUACCUCUUACUGUGUUAAUAUUUAUAUUUUGAAGGGGUACGGGGCAUACUCCCCUUUGAGCAUUUUUCUUAUUUCUUCUCCCUAGUAAAUGCUAAAUCUACUGUAUUUAAGUAUAUUAUGUUGACUGUUUGAUACCUUCUUCCAUAACAGUUGGAUACAAUUAUUUUCCUAUUGGGCAAAACAUAAUCCAAAACACAACCAAAACAAACUGCAAAUGCAUACAAACUCAAGUUUGUUGAGUCACAAGCUUAAUGCAUUUAUUGGGUGCGAAAAAUUUAGGACCAAAAUACAUAAUGCUUGACUACUUUAAUACACUAUAAAUGAAUUUGUCCAAAUACUUAUGACUUCUUGAAUUGGGGGGACUAUUUACAUAAAGUGCUUUUAUAUCUAAAUGGUAAAACAUACAAUACCUUCAGAAAGUAUUCACACCGCUUGACUUUUUCCAAAUUUUGUUAUGUUACAGCCUGAAUUUAAAAUGUAUGAAAUUGAGAUUUUUUUUAAUGUCCCUGGCCUACACACAAUACCACAUAAUGUCAAAGUGGAAUUAUGUAAAAAAAAAAUGUCAAUAAGUAUUCAAUUACUUUGUUAUGGAAAUCCCAAAUAAAUUGAAUAAUACAUUGCAUGGACUCACUCUGUGUGCAAUAAUAAUGUUUAACAUGAUUUUUAUUGACUACCUCAUCUCUGUGCCCCACACAUACAAUUAUCUGUAAAGUCGGUCAGUCGCGUAGUGAAUUUCAAGAGAUUUAACCAAAAACAACAGGGUGGUUGUCUAAUGCCUCACAAAGAUGGAAACUAUUGGUUAAAAAAACAGACAUUGAAUAUCCCUUUGAGCAAGGUGAAGUUAUUAAUUACACAUUGGAUGGUGUAUCAAUAUACCCACUCACAACAAUAAUACUGCCAUCAUUCAUAACUUAGUUGCCGGAGAGGAAAAAACCCACUCAGAGAUUUCACCAUGAUGCCCAUGGUGACUUUAAAACAGUUACAGAGUUUAAUGGCUGUGAUAGGAGAAAAGUGAGGAUGGAUCAACAACAUUGUAGUUAAUCUACCAAACUAACCUAAAUGACGGAGUGAAAAGAAGGAAGCUUGUACCUGUUUGCAGCAAGGCACUAAAGUAAUACUGCAAAAACUGUGGCAAAGCAAUUAACUUUUUGUCCUGAAUACAAAAAGUUAUGUUUGGGGCAAAUAGGAUACAACACAUUACUGAGUACCAUUCUCCAUAUUUUCAUGCACAGUGGUGGCUGCGUCUUGUUAUGGGUAUAUUGUAAUCAUUAAGGGACUGGGGAGAUUUUCAGGAUAGAAAAUAAAUGUAAUGGAGCUAAACACAGGCAAAGUGCUAAAAGAAAACCUGGUCGAGUCUGCUUUCCACCAGACACUAGGAGAUGAAUUCACCUUUCGGCAGGAUAAUAACCUAAAACACAAGGCUAAAUAUACACUGGAGUUGCUUACCAAGCAUACAGUGAAUGUUCCUGAGUGGCAGAGUUACAGUUUUGACUUGAAUCUACUUCAAAAUCUAUGGCAAGACCUGAAAAUGGUUGUCUAGCAAUGAUCAACAACCAAUUGGACAGAGCUUGAAGAAAUUUGAAAAGAAUAAUGGGCAAAUGUUGCACAAUCCAGGUGUGGAAAGCUCUUAGAGACUUAGAGACGCAGAAAGACUCACAGCUGUAAUCGCUGCCAAAGGUGCUAAUACAAAGUAUUGACUCAGUGAUGUAAAGACUUAUCUAAAUGAAAUAUUUCUGUAUUUCAUUUUCAAAAAUGUAGCAAAAAAUUACAAAAAACAUGUUUUCACUUUGUCAUAAUGGGGUAUUGUGUGUAGAUUGGUGAGAUUGUUAAUUUAUUUAGUACAUUUUGAAUUCAGGCUGUAACACAACAUAAUGUGUGAUAAGUCAAGGGGUUUGAGUACUUUAUGAAAAUACCCUCAAAUAAAGGGGAAAUUCUGUACUGUCGCCUUAUAUAAAACAAUCUUAAAUGUAAAAUACUGGAGUAUAGAGCCAUAUAUAAUUUUUGGGCUUCACUGUCCAAAGGCAUAUGGAGGGGAGUGUAUGACCGAUAAAUGAUUCUGGUUGUUCAGAUACCCUUACUUCUGCAACAUUAGCUCACACUUGUUGUAUGAGACUGUUGUUUAGGUUUCUGCUCUCUGUGGUUUUGCUGUGCACAAGCUCCACAUGUACGUCUCUAUUCAAACAAUCCUCUGACUCAGUCAUACCUUACUGUGAAGUCAGACUAACAGUAUGUAGCUGUCUGACAAAUGGCAUUGUUCAUCCCUGAUAUGGCUGGUCAUCUGUUCUUGGUCAUCCUCCUUUUUGGUGAGUUAUUUCUACAUUUCUACAGUUUCAUCAUCUGUUUGUUCUACAGGAUAUUCCUCUUCUUCUCUCCCCUCUUUUAGUCUUUUACUUUUUACUCUUUUACUUUAGGAACUCUUGAUAUUUCUGAAUCUCAUGGCUACGAUGAGUGUCUUGUAUCUUAUUCCAUUAAUCAUCUUAUUUAUUUCGCUCUAUCAUUAUUUUACAAUUUGUUCAGAUAAGAUUGACCACUGCUUGAUCCCCAUUAAUGCAUUACAGUAGAUUACGCUACUUUACCAACUUGUGUGAAGUGUUCAGGUGUCUCCUGUUAAAAUAUACUUUUUGAAUGGCAGACGAUGAUAAUCUACUUUAUAAUUUCUAGAUACGUUCCAAUCCAUCAAAGCCCAAGGUCAGUAUCAUUAUUAUGAGUUUUUAGUUACCCAGUAAAAAUAUUAUAAUAAUCAUGGUAUGAGAUGUUUUUUCACAGUAGAGACUCACUAUCCAUCGAUGCACAGUCAUCCUGCGCCUAUCACUAUUCUUGGUAAAAUAGUAUUAUUAUUAUGAAUACACGGAUCUGAUUGGCUCACUGUAAUCAGAUUGGAAUAUGUAAUGUCAUGCUAACAUAUACAUACUAUUUAGUUCUUACUCUUUUCGUUAUCUGGUACAGAAAGAGGUGUGUAUUCUCAUUAACCUACAGUAUGGACAGUUAUUGAUGUGUUCUCCUCACAGGUAAACUGCAGAAACCAGACAUUAGUGUCAAUGACGAAUCUUCUCAUGACAUCACUAUUGCCUGUGUACUUCCUGAGUCUGUCAGUGAUGGUCAUAGCUGUAACCUGUACACUGGAGACCAGCCUCAGGCCUACAAAGAGGCUUGGGUGAGGAGAUUUAACGCAGCAUCAUCCAAACUAUUCUGUACCUUCAGUGUUACUAAGAAUGAUCUGUUCAGGCAUCUGCAGUUGGUGAGAGAUGUGAGCAGUUACUAUAGAGUGAACACAGGAUCACACUCUCUGUCUCCCCGCAGUGAUAAAUACAUAAUUACAGGUAAGAUACUUACAUAAACAAAUACAGAAGUAUGUAUUAUAUGUACAUUUUUUAAGUGUAGAAUGGUAUGGGCAAAAACAGGUUGAAUAAACGUUGUAGUAGUAAAUAGUUUUCCCUUCUGAUGACACUAAAUCAACGUGAAAAAUGUAUUGGAUUUGCCAAAAUCAUUUUGGGAAUGUUGGUCUUUUUUUCACCCAACUCGAACCUAAAUCCAUUAACAUGGCUGAAAUGUUGUUGAUUUCACUUUGAAUUCACAUUAGUUGACAACUCAAUCAAAUGUAAAUCAAAACUAGGUGUGGAACUGAUGUCUGUGUUCAUUGGGCAAAUGCUUAAUUUAUUGCUAACUUGUUUUGAACAAAUCAAUUCAUUUUAAUUCAUGUUUUUAAAUCACAGUCCAAGGUAAUUCAAAGUAGUUAUACAAAUCAUAAGUCCAUGUCAUGUUUAUCACCAUCAUGAUUUGACUUUGCAUAGUGAAAGACUGCAGGCUCUACAGUAUAUUGUUAUGUGCAGAAUAUUUCUUUGUUGAACUGGUUCAGCGUUUAGAUUGUAUCUAUGCGCUGUUGUGCUUCUCCUGUUAGAUUCAUGGUGACCUUAUUCUAGGAAGCUGAUAACAACAAUCAACACCUUAUCUGUCCUGAAAGACUUGAUCACCUUAUGAACUGGUCUUAUCAUCUCUAUAAUGAGGAGAAAUAUAAUCUACCAGGGCAGGAAGCAAUCUGUCCAUAGUGAAUUUAUAGUCCUACUUUUCCCACUUUGAAAAGACAAGUCAUGAAGGUAUUUCAAAAGGACAACAACACCUUGGUGAUCAUUAAUAAGAUCAUGAAUAAAAUACUAAUUUAAUUAAUAUGUGUUUUCUCAAUGGGUUUGACUCCAGGUCCUAGAUCUACUUUGCCUCCCAGCACGACAGUGAGUCCUACAGAAGGUGUGUUGGGCCUCUAAAUGACCAUCUCUGCAAAUAGUAAUUAUACAGUCAAUGGUUUAGAUUACAGGCCUGUAAAAUGAAGUGAACAACAUUUUAAUGUAACACCUUAUUCUUGUGUAAUCAUAUUGCUUCCCUCUAGUUUCGACUGUUACUUCUACUUCGACCCGAGACACCACAGUGAGACCAACUACCAGUAAGUAGAUCCACUCAUUUGAACUUACAUGUAUAUUUUUGAUUACAAUAAUUCAUUA